rnacentral:rRNA from 1 species
UACGUAGGGUGCGAGCGUUAAUCGGAAUUACUGGGCGUAAAGCGUGCGCAGGCGGUUCGUUAAGUCAGCUGUGAAAGCCCCGGGCUUAACCUGGGAAUUGCGGUUGAAACUGGCGAACUAGAAUCUGGCAGAGGGGGGUGGAAUUCCACGUGUAGCAGUGAAAUGCGUAGAGAUGUGGAGGAACACCGAUGGCGAAGGCAGCCCCCUGGGCUGAGAUUGACGCUCAGGCACGAAAGCGUGGGGAGCAAACCGG